AUUGUAGCAAGUGAGCCAAUGCCAGCCAUCUAUGACAUCACCCAGCUUGACAACAGCUGCAUGGAAUUCUGGGAGCAUCCUGGGCCCCAAGACCCCAUGGAACGAGGGAAGAUGCUGCCAUGAACCCUGGGCUCUUUUUAGCCCACCCUGCCAGGCCAGAGACCGGAGACCAUGGCUAAGGUGCGAGACAGAGACCAGCUUAGUGAGAGAGAAACUGACAGCCUUGGUUCAGACUCGGUGUCCUUAAG